rnacentral:rRNA from 1 species
CAUGCAAGUCGAGGGGAAACGACAUCGAAAGCUUGCUUUUGAUGGGCGUCGACCGGCGCACGGGUGAGUAACGCGUAUCCAACCUGCCCACCACUUGGGGAUAACCUUGCGAAAGUAAGACUAAUACCCAAUGAUAUCUCUAGAAGACAUCUGAAAGAGAUUAAAGAUUUAUCGGUGAUGGAUGGGGAUGCGUCUGAUUAGCUUGUUGGCGGGGUAACGGCCCACCAAGGCGACGAUCAGUAGGGGUUCUGAGAGGAAGGUCCCCCACAUUGGAACUGAGACACGGUCCAAACUCCUACGGGAGGCAGCAGUGAGGAAUAUUGGUCAAUGGACGAGAGUCUGAACCAGCCAAGUAGCGUGCAGGAUGACGGCCCUAUGGGUUGUAAACUGCUUUUAUAAGGGAAUAAAGUGAGUCUCGUGAGACUUUUUGCAUGUACCUUAUGAAUAAGGACCGGCUAAUUCCGUGCCAGCAGCCGCGGUAAUACGGAAGGUCCGGGCGUUAUCCGGAUUUAUUGGGUUUAAAGGGAGCGUAGGCCGGAGAUUAAGCGUGUUGUGAAAUGUAGAUGCUCAACAUCUGCACUGCAGCGCGAACUGGUUUCCUUGAGUACGCACAGAGUGGGCGGAAUUCGUGGUGUAGCGGUGAAAUGCUUAGAUAUCACGAAGAACUCCGAUUGCGGAGGCAGCUCACUGGAGCGCAACUGACGCUGAAGCUCGAAAGUGCGGGUAUCGAACAGGAUUAGAUACCCUGGUAGUCCGCACGGUAAACGAUGGAUGCCCGCUGUUGGUCUGAAUAGGUCAGCGGCCAAGCGAAAGCAUUAAGCAUCCCACCUGGGGAGUA